AGAGGCAUGGUUUCGUGGCUAGGAUACCUGGCUCUCAUCCAGGAGGCCCGGGUUUGAUUCCCUGUUCCAAAA